UGCACUUGGACUGCUCAAGCCGGAAUAUUUCUUCAGCACAACAAAGAAGCCGUUGUACAAAGGAAGAUGGCUUCAACAGACCACCAUUGUCCCUAAGGAUGAUCAGAAGGGUUGACGUGUCAUCAUCAAGAAGGGUAUCAAGGCACCCAUCACAUUGUCAUCUGCAGACGGCGGCGGACCGCACUCAAGUGAAGAUUCCUCUGCUUUAGUUGCCGUACACUUGACCUGGGAGUUGUUUUGCUCUGUGUCAACUUCUGGGGAUGCACUUGGCUGGCUUGAUUUGUCUCCUCCCAUGUGUGAUGCUUGUGAUGGGGAUUCUUGCCCACUUUCGUGAGUGUCAACCAAGACAGAGGUCUGUUAAAAGUGCAGUAAGGUGAAGCUUGUUUUGGCUAAUGAUGCCCACAAAGUUUUUUUUCUUUUUUCUUACUUUCAUGUUAGCACCACGAAGCAACUAUGGCUAUGAGCGGCGUGAUGCCCAUACUGAAGAGGAAACGUGAUCGUGUAUUUACCAGUUUGUGCUUCCUUGGGAGUCUACAGUAGGGAUGCUCCUCAUGAAGCUGCAUUGGCAUAUGUACCUGCAUAACAAUUUUUCAUGGAGUCACAAGUGAAAACUGCUCCUUACAGGGGAUGCAGCAGGUGUAAGAGGAUUGGCUGGCCGAUCCAACAUCGUACUGCAUCCUGCUUCAUUGUCCUGUAAAAACAAACACGGAGUCAGCAUAAUAACACACAUGGAGAGACACAAAGAGUAUGGCUGACUGAUGUUCAUGAUUACUGUAAUCGACAAAUAUCAAGCUGAUGAGGGUAUGCUUUCAGUGCAUAAACAUGAAAAGCAGGGAGCACCUAUAUUAAUUACCAAGUAAAGCUUUCUCGUUCUA